CGGGUGAGUAACGCGUGGAUAACCUGCCUCACACUGGGGGAUAACAGUUAGAAAUGACUGCUAAUACCGCAUAAGCGCACAGUACCGCAUGGUACGGUGUGAAAAACUCCGGUGGUGUGAGAUGGAUCCGCGUCUGAUUAGCCAGUUGGCGGGGUAACGGCCCACCAAAGCGACGAUCAGUAGCCGACCUGAGAGGGUGACCGGCCACAUUGGGACUGAGACACGGCCCAA
rnacentral:rRNA from 1 species